rnacentral:rRNA from 1 species
UACGUAGGGGGCAAGCGUUGUCCGGAAUCAUUGGGCGUAAAGAGCGUGUAGGCGGUCCGUUAAGUCGGCUGUGAAAGUCCAAGGCUCAACCUUGGGAUGCCGGUCGAUACUGCCGGACUAGAGUUCGGAAGAGGAGAGUGGAAUUCCUGGUGUAGCGGUGAAAUGCGCAGAUAUCGGGAGGAACACCCGUAGCGAAGGCGGCACUCUGGGCCGGUACUGACGCUGAGGAGCGAAAGCGUGGGGAGCAAUCCGG